rnacentral:rRNA from 1 species
GACGAACCGUCCUAACGUUUGUUCGGAAUCACUGGGCUUAAAGGGCGCGUAGGCGGCUUGCCAAGUCAGGGGUGAAAUCCUGCAGCUUAACUGUAGAAGGGCCUUUGAUACUGGCGAGCUCGAGGGAGGUAGGGGGUAUGUGGAACUUCCGGUGGAGCGGUGAAAAUGCGUUGAUAUCGGAAGGAACGCCGGUGGCGAAAGCGACGUACUGGGACCCUCUUUCUGACGCUGAGGCGCGAAAAGCUAGGGGGAGCAAAACGGGG